rnacentral:lncRNA from 1 species
CUCUUCUCCACGUGCAAGACUUAGGGCUCAUGCACAGGCAGGCUGGGGCAGCAUGGAUGCUCGGGCGAGCCAGGACUCCAGGAUCAGGUGAAGGAGGAUUCUCAUUCCAAUGCAACACCACAGAAAGCAGAGAUGUCCUGAAGCACCUAACCCUACCAUUUGCAAAACUAGUGCUUUAAGGGCGAGAACCCAGCAGUGUGGAGCCACUGCAGGAAGGACACAGCUUUCACCCAUCUGGCAGAAGAGGUGGCGGACAGUCCCCAGAUCCUUCAGCUGAUGCUGUUUUCUCCUCUCCUUCAACUUCUGUUUUUCCCAGUGUUACACAUUACAUUUCUGAAGCAUAUGAUGAAUGGGAUGCUGUGCAGCUGAAAAAUCACACAUCUCAAAUGGCUCACUUGGCUCUCCCAUACUAAGCUGACUGCCUGAGUUGCAGCUCUCUGACAAGGGGAAUGGUUGCUUUACUCUCAAAAUACGGUAAGUCUUAAAUAUAAC